UAAUACGGAGGGUGCGAGCGUUAUCCGGAUUUACUGGGUUUAAAGGGUGCGUAGGUGGGCAGGUAAGUCAGUGGUGAAAUCUUCGAGCUUAACUCGGAAACUGCCAUUGAUACUAUCUGUCUUGAAUGCCCUGGAGGUAAGCGGAAUAUGUCAUGUAGCGGUGAAAUGCUUAGAUAUGACAUAGAACACCAAUUGCGAAGGCAGCUUACUACGGGGUGAUUGACACUGAGGCACGAAAGCGUGGGGAUCAAACAGG
rnacentral:rRNA from 1 species